rnacentral:snRNA from 1 species
ACUCCUUCUCGGCUGCAAGGCGAAGAUCAAAGUUAGCAUCUGUUCUUAUCAACAUAACCUUUUGUAUUUAACCUAUAUGGUCGCUGAAAGAUCAAUUCUAUUUUUGGAUAUUUGUGAUUCAUAAAAGCUUGCUUAGUGAUAGCCUUGGGUCAGACCGGCGUUGCACUUUCGCCCAGUCCUAUUGACG